rnacentral:rRNA from 1 species
AGCCUGAACGCUGGCGGCGUGGCUAAGACAUGCAAGUCGCACGGGCGUAGCAAUACGUCAGUGGCGGACGGGUGAGUAAAGUAUCGCUAAUGUACCCCGGACACCGGGAUAGCCGAGGGAAACUUCGGGUAAUACCGGAUGCCAUGGUUUUGUCGCAUGACAGAGCCCUGAAAGGUCCGCCGGUCCGGGAGCAGGCGAUAUCGUAUCAGCUAGUUGGCGGGGUAACGGCCCACCAAGGCGACGACGCGUAGCCGGACUGAGAGGUUGGCCGGCCACAUUGGGACUGAGACACUGCCCAGACUCCUACGGGGGGCUGCAGUAACGAAUCUUCCGCAAUGCACGAAAGUGUGACGGAGCGACGCCGCGUGGUGGGACGAAGCCCGUUCGGGGUGUAAACCACUGUCAGGGGUAGGAAAGUUCUGAUCCGCCCCAGAGGAAGGCGACGGCUAACUCUGCGCCAGCAGCCGC